GUUCUAGGUAUAAGCUUUGAUGUGCAUGCACAAAAGAAGUGUGCAUGCACAUGAAAGCUUAUACCUAGAGC